rnacentral:lncRNA from 1 species
CUCGACUAUAUCUUGGUCUCUGGAGAAAAGAGCAGGCCAGUUCCCCUGUUCUUCCCGCAGUGUGCACAUGAAGACCGUUCUGAUGGCAACACCUAACUUCGUGCUCUCGUCCCUGGAAAGUUGCCCUGCCUCUGCUUUUAUGGGGGGAUUUCCCCUGAGUCAGGAUCCGCACGUGAACCAAGCACGGCACCAGACGUCUUUGCCUCCCCAAUUCUGAAAGACCUUUGCCACCUCAGCCUCCUGCCUGCUCGUCCACGCCUCGGGAACCGUGCCAUCUCACCAUCCCCAGGUGGGAGUCAGAGGCUGUCCCACAUGGCGGGCCACGUGUGACAGGCUUUCAGGAAGCUUUCUUUUUAAAAAAGUGUUUUUAAAUAUUGAAGUGUAGUUGAUUUACAAUGUAGUGUUAGUUUCCGGUGUACAGCAGUGAUUUAGUUAUACUCAUAUAUGCGUGUGUAUUCUUUUUCAUAUUCAUUUAUUUUUAUGGAUUAUUCCAGGAUAUUGAAUAUAGUUCCCUGUGCUAUUCAGUAGGUCCUUGUUGAUUAUCUACUUUAUAUAUAGUACUGUGUAUAUGUUAACCCCAAACUCCUAGUUUAUCUCUAACCAUAAAUUUGUUUGUUGUGUUAAUUUCUGCUAUGUAACAAAGUGAUUCAGUUAUACAUACACACACACACGAGUUCUUUUUUAUAUUCUUUUCCGUUGAUUUAUCUCAGGAUAUCGAAUGUACUUCCCGGUGCCGUACAGUAGGACCUCGUUGUGUAUCCCUUCCAUAAGUAAUAGCCUUCAUCUGCUAACCCCACACUCCCAGUCCAUCCCUCUCACACCUUCUCCCCCUUGGCAACCACAAGUCUGUUCCCUGUGUCUUUGAGUCUAUUUCUGUUUUGUAAAUAAGUUCAUUUGAGAUAUUUUAGAUUCCACAUAUGAGUGAUAUCAUACAGUGUUUGUCUUUCUCUGAUUUACUUGUUGAUAUGAUCAUCUCUAGGUCUAUCCAUGUUGCUGAUGUGGC